UACGUAGGGUGCAAGCGUUAAUCGGAAUACUGGGCGUAAAGCGUGCGCAGGCGGUUUUGUAAGUCAGAUGUGAAAUCCCCCGGGCUUAACCUGGGAACUGCGUUUGAAACUACAAGGCUAGAGUGUGGCAGAGGGGGGGUGGAAUUCCACGUGUAGCAGUGAAAUGACGUAGAGAUGUGGAGGAAGCACCGAUGGCGAAGGCAGCCCCCCUGGGUUAACACUGACGCUCAGGCACGAAAGCGUGGGGAGCAAACAGG
rnacentral:rRNA from 1 species